rnacentral:lncRNA from 1 species
AGGGAAGACCAUGUGACUCGUUACUAUAAUGGCCUGCAUAAAAAACAAAAACAAAACAAAAAAACCCUCAGGGAAGAGAAGACUUACAACUAUGACCUCAUUUCUAAUUGGACUGUGGUGAAAAAGAAACUAGUCAUAGCUGAAACUAGGGGCCAGGAGGGCUGCUUGCCUCUCCUGGGCAACCUGUAGUUGGCGAAACUUUAACUCUACGUAUAAAGAGACCAUUUUUUACAGCGAGUUUGGGGUAAAUUGUGUAAAGUCUCAAAGGGACCUAAUACAGGACAUUUCCUACAUUCCGAAUUUGACACUUUAAGGAAGACUGCGAUAGAUGGACUCAACGACUCUCUUACCGUCCAGCUCUCAAGUCCCUUCUCUUGUGAAAAUGGAAAAGUUGAACUACAGUUGAGAUAUUAUUCCCAGGUGUUCUUUGGAACACAGGGGAUUUCUCCAAAAGGCACAGAACAAAUUGCCUCCAAACAGCCAAGAUUCCAGCAGAAGCUGGAGUAGCAGACUACUUGGAUCUUCAAAGUACCUGGCCCUGAGUCAGUUAAGGAAGAUCUUUUCUUCUCUUUUGUACAAUCCUAUGAUGAGAGCUGCAAAGUGAACUGACUAAGAGCUUCUGCCUUGAUCAUUGACCUCCCAAUCCUAAUAAUAUGUUCACUGGCCAAACUUCCUAAUCGAUUUGUCUUUUGGAUAUAACGUUCCUCCUACUGUUUGCCUGAUUGAGAAAUCUGCUACAGAACAUGACCGGUUAGCAUUCCCACCAACCCCAGUGCUACACUGACUGUCUUUCGAUGGACUUUGCUCCUUGCUGCCUCUCUGAGGUCCCAGACCUUCAGAGUGACCUUCACAGCUCUGCCUAACUUUCUGUCAUACUUCUAUCAAGAGAGACAGCUAAAUCAAUAUUUUUAAUGUGCUUUGCUGUCGGAAUUCGAUGAUCUGUCACAGUUCUUGCCCAAUACACCCCAUCAUUAUUGUUAAAAUGUUUUUAGCUUUGUUUGUAGAAUUGCUUUAACUGGUUUCAUCUCUGGGAGCUACACUUUGAAAUAUAACUUUAGCAACAUUUUACUAUACUUUUUCACAACCCAGAGCAGUACUAUUUUAUGCUUAGUGGUUAAACUAAUUCCAUAAAUCUUUUGCAACUAUCCUCUAUUCUUUUUCUUGUAAUUUUUACCUGGGAAGGUUUUUACUGAUAAUCAUCCUAUCCUGAGUCAUCCCACAAACCAAUCUGUCUCACUAAUCAUUGCUUCUAACCUACAGACUAAGCAUAACUUCUGCUAAAUGAUCUUUGAUAAGAUGCUAUGACUCUAUAAAGUCUUUGAUAUUCAUGUCUAAAUUUAAUCACUUGUAGAUUUUCAUAGAAUCAAUCUUUCACUUCUACAAUUGGGAGUAUUUAUAAGUUGUUUAUCUUAAACAGUUCCUCUAUCACGCUUUUCACGUUAAAUAAAGCAAUCCCUUCAAAUCAAUUUUCUGUCAUGUCUAAGAUGU